rnacentral:rRNA from 1 species
UACGAAGGGGGCUAGCGUUGCUCGGAAUCACUGGGCGUAAAGCGCACGUAGGCGGAUCUUUAAGUCGGGGGUGAAAUCCCGGAGCUCAACUCCGGAACUGCCUUCGAUACUGAGGAUCUCGAGUUCGGGAGAGGUGAGUGGAACUGCGAGUGUAGAGGUGAAAUUCGUAGAUAUUCGCAAGAACACCAGUGGCGAAGGCGGCUCACUGGCCCGAUACUGACGCUGAGGUGCGAAAGCGUGGGGAGCAAACAGG